rfam:Brassica rapa chromosome A1, whole genome shotgun sequence.
UGGCAGUGAUGAGCAAUUUGAGAUAGUCAUGCACCACUCUGAUUUAGAUCUGUAAAAGGAUCUUUGUGCGGAGAAUUUCUCUACCAUAUUUUAUACUGAGCCA